rnacentral:rRNA from 1 species
CAGUCGCCGCGGGAAUACGUAGGUGGCAAGCGUUGUCCGGAAUUAUUGGGCGUAAAGCGCACGUAGGCGGAUACUUAAGUCAGGGGUGAAAUCCCGGGGCUCAACCUCGGAACUGCCUUUGAUACUGGGUAUCUUGAGUCCGGGAGAGGUUGGUGGAACUCCGAGUGUAGAGGUGAAAUUCGUAGAUAUUCGGUAGAACACCAGUGGCGAAGGCGGCCAACUGGCCCGGUACUGACGCUGAGGUGCGAAAGCGUGGGGAGCAAACAGGAUUAGAUACCCCCGUAGUCCCUGUCUCUUAUAC